CUUCUGCCCUUUAUUCUCCCCUUGGCCCUUCUAUGGGGUCUCUGGGUGUGACAGGAAUAGGAGCCUCCUUCCAGCUGUCUUUCAGGCCCUGGGAUCUGGCACAGCCUCCCAGACGGGCGCUUCCUGUAGCUGAACCACGUCAGGGAGCAGUGGGGACAGGUCACCUCGUCCCAGCAAUGCCGGCCCUCAAAGAGGCUUAGAUGGAAGACCCCAGUCCCUCAUGGAGAGGCUGUGUCCAGGAUCCUGGAGACUGUUUCCUGCUGCAGGAGGUUUGAGCGGGGAGAGAUCACUCACUGUCACGAGCCAGGGGUCUCCAACCCGGGUCUGCAGGGUUCAUGGGAGCAGCCACACUCCAACCCUCCACCUGGAAGCCUGCUGAAAAUUGCUUACCUUGGACCCAUGAAGUUCAGCCCCAGUUUGAGGCUCCACUCCUGAGGUCCUAUUGGAGGAGUCCCAGGAAAGCUCACUGGCCCCCUGCCCUGCGUAAGACAGCAGCAGGAACAUGAAGCUGACUGAACACCAGGCCUGCUCCCUGUUCUGGACCGUGCGCUGCCUGGUUCUGCUGCCACUCCCCUGGCUUGAUUUCCUGGCAUCUGAGUUGUGGUGGUGAUCGCAAGUUUGUCUUUUGCUGCUGAUCUUCCAGUAUCCUGACCUGGCUGACUCUCGGCUCCUGUCAUGUGAGUGUGGACUCUGGCUCUGACCAGUAGGUCUGGCUGCCCUUGACCCAGCCGUGACAUUGACUUUGGUACAAUUUCUCCAAUGCCCCUUUCUGAUCUCCAGCAAGAUACACCAGUCCCUUGGCUCCCAAAGUCCUAGUUGCCCGCUGUUCAAGGGCUGAAGGGUAGUGCUUCUAUUGCCCCACCCCCACCACAGCUGCCUUGCCUAUGGGAAUCUCCCUAGAGCAGAGGAGAAAUCUGCUCUUCUCUUAGGAUCAGUCCCACUCUGGCCUCAGCUCAGCUACUUUGUUGACCUGGGGUCAGGCACCACUUUUGAAGCCUUCAGCGUGUGGGUGGAGGUGGGAGCAGAGGCUGAAGCUCCAGCAGUUUCCACCAAAGAACACCCCCCUGUCUUUCUAUGGUCCGGCUAGGGCUCCCCAUGCAUCCUGGAGCUGAACACCAGAUGGGAGCUGAUGGAUUAUCCUUGGUGGGCCAUGUUCUUGUGUGUGAUGAGAGGGCCAGGAGCAGAUGCACCACGCCUGGCCAGGACCGGGCUAAACAGCCUGUAAUUCUAAACAGUCAGCCUGUGAGGCCGUUUGCAGAAUGUGGAAGAGCCCUUUGGCAAGCCGUUGGAGGAUUCACCAUGAAGGUGGCAGCAGCGGCAGUGCCUGGGGUCCCCAUGGGCCAAGCCUCUACUCCUGCCAAUCCAGGCUAAUCUCCCGCUGCUCUCAGUGGGGCUUGGCUUUAGCUGCUGGGCCUGUGAGCCUAGCCCAGGGGUCUCAAACUCAAAUGACCACGAGGGCUGCAUGAGGACUAGUUCAUUGGCCUGAGGGCCGCAUCACUGACA